AUUCCUACCCGAAUCUGGCAUUGCAUCGCAGGGCUGACCCGGGCACCGAGCAGCGCUGAUUCACCGACCCCGCCUCGGACCUGUUGCCGGAACCUGUCUCCGGAAAGCACUGGAAUCGUGAGGCUGUACACCCCGCCCUGAGUGCUGGCCAAUUACUCCCUCCUGCGAGUGGAUUUUAACAGCUCAGAAACUUCCCGUACCUGCAGACUGACGCUGAAUUCUGAGAUUUGUUUGACAUCUCUUUCAGUCUUUCCUUCCAAUUCUAGAGGAAAACAUUCAAAAAGAAUACUUCCUAUUCAA